UGUAGAAGUUAAUAAGAAUAUGUAAGAAGUACAGGAAGACUAUAACAACAAAAGAGGGCAAUGCAACAAACUUAUUCUGGUUGAGUACAAGGAGAGCCAACAGCUAUAACGGAGGCAAUGAAAGGAGCUCUGAAAGAUUUGAAUCUGAACAUUGUGGAAAUGACUGAUGAGAAUGCCACACUGGAUGGAGGAGAUGUGCUUUUUACAGGUCGAGAGUUCUUUGUGGGCCUUUCCAAACGGACCAAUCAGAGAGGAGCAGAGAUCCUAGCUGAUGCCUUUAAGGUGAGUUUAAAUGAUGCAGUGGUGUAAAA